UCUGGGAACUGGGUUGGCGUGUGU
rnacentral:piRNA from 1 species